rnacentral:tRNA from 3 species
GCGUCUGUAGCUUAAUACGGAUAGAGCAUUACUUUCCGAAAGUAAAGGUUUCAGGUUCAAUUCCUGUCAGACGCA